rnacentral:rRNA from 1 species
UACGUAGGUGGCGAGCGUUGUCCGGAUUUACUGGGCGUAAAGGAUGCGUAGGCGGAUAUUUAAGUGAGAUGUGAAAUACCCGGGCUUAACUUGGGUGCUGCAUUUCAAACUGGAUAUCUAGAGUGCGGGAGAGGAGAAUUGGAAUUCCUAGUGUAGCGGUGAAACGCGUAGAGAUUAGGAAGAACACCAGUGGCGAAGGCGAUUCUCUGGACCGUAACUGACGCUGAGGCAUGAAAAGC